rnacentral:rRNA from 1 species
UACGGAGGGUGCAAGCGUUGUUCGGAAUCACUGGGCGUAAAGCGCGUGUAGGCGGUCUCCUAAGUCUGGUGUGAAAGCCCGGGGCUUACCCCCGGAAGUGCACUGGAUACUGGGAGACUGGAGUACCGGAGAGGAGGGUGGAAUUCCUGGUGUAGCGGUGAAAUGCGUAGAUAUCAGGAAGAACACCAAUGGCGAAAGCAGCUUUCUGGGACGGUACUGACGCUGAGACGCGAAAGCGUGGGGAGCGAACAGG